UCAAAGUUUGAUUCUAGCUUGUUAAAUUUGCCUUUUUUUAAUUGUACAUGUAAAUAUUUGUGCGGUAGCUUAAUCUAAAAGUUAUAUUGGUCGUAUAUUCGCAGUUCUUUAUUUUAUUUAUUAUAUAAGUAUAGAUUUAGUUAAUUGAAGGAGCUCUGACUAACAUUGUGCCAGCAGUCGCGGUUAUACAAUGGGGGCAAGUAAAUUUAUAUUGGUUUAUAUUUAAUUUGUUGUAAUCUGUCUUAAUUUGGAAUUUUGGGGUGAAAUCAAUAUUCCAUGUCAGAUGGUUUUUAAUGAUUAAAAUAUGAUAGUUCAGAAUGAAACUGGGAUUAGAGACCCCAUUAUUAUGAAUGUUAAAUUUAUAAUCUUAGUAUUAAUAGUUAUGAUCUUUAAAUUAAAAGAAUUUGGCGGUAAUUUAGUCUGUUCAGAGGAAUCUGCCCCGUAAUCGAUGACCCACGAUGAAUUUUACUUUAUCUAGGCUUGUAUAUCUCUGUCAUUGAAUGUCUUAUAAGGGUAUUUUCAUAAAUUAUUAUUGUGGAAGAUGUCAGGUCAAGGUGCAGCGAUGGUAAAGUGGAGGUGGAUUACAUUAAAAGUAUUUAUGGAGAAGUUUAUGGAAAUAACUUUGAAAUUGGAUUUGAGAGUAAGUUUUAUUAGAAAGUAGAGUUGAUUAAGCUCUAAAUUAUGCACAUAUCGCCCGUCACUCUCGUUUAUUAAAAUGAGAUAAGUCGUAACAAAGUAGGCUUAUUGGAAAGUGAGCCUGGUAUUAU
rnacentral:ncRNA from 1 species